rnacentral:rRNA from 1 species
GAUGAACGCUGGCGGCGUGCCUAAUACAUGCAAGUCGAGCGAACAGACGAGGAGCUUUCUCCUUCGACGUUAGCGUCGGACGGGUGAGUAACAUGUAGGUAACCCACCUAUAAGACGGGGAUAACUUCGGGAAACCGGAGCUAAUACCGGAUAAUAUUUCCAACAGCAUGGUUCGAUAGUGAAAGAUGGCUUUGCUAUCACUUAUAGAUGGACCUGCGCCGUAUUAGCUAGUUGGUAAGGUAACGGCUUACCAAGGCAACGAUCCGUAGCCGACCUGAGAGGGUGAUCGGCCACACUGGAACUGAGACACGGUCCAGACUCCUACGGGAGGCAGCAGUAGGGAAUAUUGCGCAAUGGGCGAAAGCCUGACGGAGCAACGCCGCGUGAGUGAUGAAGGCCUUCGGAUCGUAAAACUCUGUUAUUGGGGAGGAACGAACGUGUAAGUAACUGUGCACGGCUUGACGGUACCUGAUCAGAAAGCACCGGCUAACUACGUG